ACCUCUUAAGCUCUUAUGUUAUCAUUCCUUACUCUAUUUUCACUUGUCACUCCACUCGUCCAACCUAAACAUUGUCAUUUCUGAUACUCUCAUUCUCUGUUCUAUUUUUCUAUUUACCACCCAAAACUCCAAACCAUACUUUAAUAGAACAUAACUUUAAGCCUCAUUGAAAUUCCCUUGUUACAUAAAAUACAAAACAUCUGACAAUUCUGUCCGCUUAAUAUGACCACAAGUAAUUCUAUGCUUCACAUGCUCAUGAAAGCCACCAUUCUUUUAUACAAAAGAUUCUAGUUACUUAGAACUCUCAACCUUGUUUAUUGCCAUUUGCUGUUUUCUUCUGUUCCUCUAAAUUCAUACUUAGGUUUACUU